ensembl:lncRNA
ACCGAUUAACAAAUGCCAAAAUGAUUAGUUUUUGUGUAUCACUAGCCAAACAAUAUACAUACAAAAUCAUGAUGUAUCUCAAGCAAAUGGUUUUGUCUUAACUAGGAAUGCGCUGGUCCGAUACCACCGAAAAAUACGGGAAUCAGGUAUACCGGCAACAGCGAGUCAAUAUUGUAAUGAUCUGAUACCACGAACCAGAUUGUAAUAACAGUGUGCGGAAAACACGUGAUUCUGUCACUCACAGUGGCAGAGUACCUAUGAUAAAAUGAUUACAGACUUCUACAUGCUUUUGUCAUACUAUUGGUCGGAGCCCUGGUGCACUACAGGGAAUAGGGCACCAUUUGUAACACACUCCGUCCAGAGAUCCCCAGGAACCAGAGGAGAGGGGGGCGAUGCUGCUGCAUCCCAGGGCAAGGCCUUUCAUCUGGAAGUAUUUUAGAAGUCUAUUUUGGUAUCCCGACCCUCGCCAGCCAACCUGACCGCCUCUCUGGAUUAUUCCCAACGUACUGCGGCUUCUGAUCUGCAUUCAUACCCAGUUAUCAACCUUCUUACUUCAUUCCAGGCUGUCCCUUUAUAUACCUUUGCUACUCCCUCAUAAAGGUCCUGCACUCUGAGCUUGGAUCCAUCCCCCCA